CGACUUCAUGGAGUCGAGUUGCAGACUCCAAUCCGGACUACGACAUACUUUAUGAGGUCCGCUUGCUCUCGCGAGCUUGGCUUCUCUUUGUAUAUGCCAUUGUAGCACGUGUGUAGCCCUAUUCGUAAGGGCCAUGAUGACUUGACGUCAUCCCCACCUUCCUCCGGUUUAUCACCGGCAGUCUCCUUUGAGUUCCCACCAUUACGUGCUGGCAACAAAGGAUAAGGGUUGCGCUCGUUGCGGGACUUAACCCAACAUUUCACAACACGAGCUGACGACAGCCAUGCAGCACCUGUCUCAGAGUUCCCGAAGGCACUAACCUAUCUCUAGGGAAUUCUCUGG
rnacentral:rRNA from 1 species